GGAGAGGUGGCAGAGUGGUUGAAUGUACCGCACUCGAAAUGCGGCGUGCCUUUACGGGUACCGGGGGUUCGAAUCCCCCCCUCUCCG
rfam:Chrysosporum ovalisporum strain TAM-MAO genome assembly, contig: 6001